rnacentral:lncRNA from 1 species
GAAAAAACCAUGCCAUAUGGAGAGGUUAUAUGGGGGGAACCAAGGCGUACUGGUUAAACAACCCAGAUUAGCUCCCAGCCUAUGCCAGGACCAACCAUCAGCCAUGUGAAUGAAACAUCUUGGACGGUCCGGCCCAGCCAAGUCCCAAAUGAAUGCAACUCUAGGCAUCAUCACAUGCUCAGUAGAUUUUAGCCCAUAGAUGUGUAAGGCAUAAUAAAAUGAUUGUGGUUUCAAGCCACUAAGUUUUGGGUUGUUAUAGCAACAUGAAACCAAAACACCAUUCAUGAAACUCCUGGACAGGGAACAAGCACAUCAUGGUUGUCUUGGGGACUGGCAACAACAAGAUUAACUGGGCCAUGGAGGACAAGCAGGAGAUGGUCGACAUCAUAGAGACCGUGGACUGUAGGGCCCUCAAUGGUGGCGACCUGGUCUUGUCCCCAAAAACUACUCCACCAAGUCCAGAUACUGAAGUGCCCUCAGGCUGUGUGGAUAAAUGUUGUGGAGGCCUUUUCAUGUAGAAACCUUUUAAACUAUUUCAAGCCUUUGGAAAAGUACAUGAAGCUCCAGGGCUGGAGGACUUCUGAGAUACAAUUUACUACAUGGCCUUAACUAGCUGAAAUAAACAAACACAUGAAGAAAAAUAAUAACACUGAUGUUAACUGAAU